ensembl:snRNA U6 U6 spliceosomal RNA
GUGCUCCUGUCAGCAGCAUGUAUAUCAAACUGGAACAAUACAGAGAAAAUUAGCAUGGCCCUGUGCAAGGAUGACGUAUGGGUUCAUGAAGCAUUCCAUAUAUUU